rnacentral:rRNA from 1 species
CUACGGGUGGCUCCAGUGAGGAAUAUUGCACAAUGGGGGGAACCCUGAUGCAGCAAUGCCGCGUGGAGGAUGACGCAUUUCGGUGUGUAAACUCCUUUUAUAUGUCAAGAAAAUGACGGUAGCAUAUGAAUAAGCACCGGCUAACUCCGUGCCAGCAGCCGCGGUAAUACGGAGGGUGCAAGCGUUACUCGGAAUCACUGGGCGUAAAGGACGCGUAGGCGGGAUAUCAAGUCCGGUGUGAAAUCCUACAGCUUAACUGUAGAACUGCACUUGAAACUGGUAACCUAGAGUAUGGGAGGGGGAGAUGGAAUUAGUGGUGUAGGGGUAAAAUCCGUAGAUAUCACUAGGAAUACCUAAAGCGAAGGCGAUCUCCUGGAACAUUACUGACGCUAAGGCGUGAAAGCGUGGGGAGCAAACAGGAUUAGAUACCCCUGUAGUC